CAUUUCCUUAUGUCUGGACCAAAUCCCUUUUUGCUCUAAUUUGAGACCAGAGACUCUGUGGAGUUGCUCACAAUUGUCUAUUGAAUAGACAAACACUUGGAGUUUGUUUUGAAAACUCACUUCAGCCUUCUCUUCACCAGGGUAAACAAUUCUCAUCUUGCAGCCUUUCCUCAAUAGCGUAUAUAAUGCGUCCACGAUAAUGUGCUCAUGUACGAAACUGGAAGCUGUUCAACAAAUUCAGACUGGUUCAAGAAAUGCAGCACAAAAUUGACUUGACUUAAUCCUAUUAUCCCUCAUAUUUGAAUGGUACUUUAAUUUACAAAGUACUUUUAUUAACAAUAGCUCAUUUUCUCUCCAUGACAGAUCUGUGAGAUGAAUAUUAUUUUUCUUUUCUUUUUGUCUUUUUCCUGACAGAGGAGGCCACAAAAUCUCAGACCACACUGCCAGUCAGUGGGAAAGCAGAGAUUGAAACUCACUCUUCUGAGCCAAGGACCAGGUGGAUUUCCAUUACCCAGCAGCUGCCUACGGUGGGCAAGUCUGGUGCAGGGUAUUGCCAAGGAUCCCACCAUGGGUACUUGAUUCUCACAGGUCUGCUCGCAGAGCAGGACCUAACUAGUCUGCCUCAUUGCCCUAACUGGAGGUCUCCAUGUAGUACUUUUAUAAAAACAAUAGGGUGAGGCAUCUUGGCCCUGCUCCCUUCAGAAAAGGAGAAAAAAUGGUAAGUUCAAUUGGGAGCUGGGAGCGCUGUCUGCUAGUAGAAUUUGAGCUAUCAACCAGAGAGAUGUAGAGAUCUUAGCUUGUCCUAAGAGUUGAGGCAAACCCUAAACUAGCCAGAAACCCAAUUCUUUGGGUUUUAUGGGAUACUGAUUCCCCAAAAACGCAGAGUGUAAUGGACUGAAGACUAAUGCUUCCCAGCAUGUAUUACUUACUAGAGGCUCUAAUGCUACACUGGUCUAUAUAGUGAAAUGGUUAAACUGUAAAUGUCAAACAAGACCAGCCCAGUGAACUUGAAUGUAGGCUUAGUUCUUUAGAAUUAAUGGACUCAAGAUGAUACCUGUGAGGAC
rnacentral:lncRNA from 1 species